GUAUCUUAUAUAAGGAUUUAUCCAUUUAUAUAUGAGUAUUUGUAUUUAUAUGUUCUUGCAUUUUGAGAGCUAUUAAAUCGUAAUUUGCUUUUCCUUUCCUCACUGAUUAUAGAAGCAAGAAAUAUGGAUGAAACAAAGUUGAAAUUCAAAGAUCAAAGAUGGUCACUCCAAGGGAAGACAGCUCUUGUGACUGGGGGAACCCGAGGCAUAGGGCAUGCAAUUGUGGAAGAAUUAGUAGAAUUUGGGGCAAGGGUGCAUAUAUGUGCACGAAAUCAAGAUGAUAUUAACAAAUGUUUGGAAGAGUGGAAAGGCAAAGGAUUUUGUGUAACAGGGUCAGCUUGUGAUUUAUUAUCCUGUGACCAACGUCAAAAUCUAAUGGAAAAUGUUGCUUCAAUCUUUCAAGGAAAACUCAAUAUUCUAGUAAACAAUGCUGCCACAUGUACACAUAAGAAAAUACUAGAGUAUACUGCUGAAGAUAUAGUAACUACAAUGGGUACAAAUUUUGAGUCUGGUUACCAUCUUUGUCAACUAGCAUACCCACUUCUAAAAGAAUCUGGAUAUGGAAGCAUAGUGUUCAUAUCUUCUGUUGGAGGUUUAAAAGCAUUUGAUGCUUGUUCUAUCUAUGCUGCCUCUAAAGGAGCCAUAAAUCAACUCACCAAAAACAUAGCAUUGGAAUGGGCAAAGGAUAAUAUUCGAGCAAAUGUUGUGGCACCUGGACCUGUUAAUACUGACCUUUUGGAAUCUAUCCUGAAAUCUAAGCCUUUUGAGAAGAUCACCAUGGAUGAUAUAGCAUCUAGUGCACCUGUUGGUCGUGUUGGAGAACCUAAAGACAUCUCAGCAUUGGUUGCUUUUCUUUGCCUCCCUGCUGCUUCAUAUGUCACUGGACAGAUUAUCGCUGCAGAUGGAGGUUUUAUACUUUAAAACCAAAAAUGGUCACUUCAUGGAAUGACAGCUCUAGUAACUGGUGGAACACGAGGCAUAGGGUAUGCAAUUGUGGAAGAGUUAGCAGAAUUUGGGGCAAGUGUGCAUAUAUGUGCACGUAAUCAAGAUGAUAUUAACAAAUGUUUGGAAGAGUGGAAAGGCAAAGGAUUUUGUGUGACAGGUUCAACUUGUGAUUUAUUAUUUCAUGACCAACGUCAAAAGUUGAUGGAAACCGUUGCUUCGAUCUUUGAUGGAAAACUCAAUAUUCUAGUGAAUAAUGCUGGGACAAUUACUCCUAAGACAAUGCUAGAACAUACUGCUGAAGAUGUGACAAAUACAAUGGGUAUUAACUUUGAAUCUAGUUACCAUUUGUGUCAACUUGCACACCCACUUUUAAAAGAAUCUGGAUAUGGGAGCAUUGUAUCCAUAUCUUCUAUUUUAGGUCUGAGACCUCUUCCUCUUUGUUCUAUUUAUGCAGCCUCUAAAGGAGCCAUAAAUCAAUGCACCAAGAACAUAGCAUUGGAAUAUGGAAAAGAUAAUAUUCGUGCAAAUGUUGUUGCACCUGGGGCAGUAAUGACCACGCUUUUGGAGUCUAUUUUGGAACACCCUGAUGCUCCAAAGGUCAUGGAAGUUGCAUUGUCUCAAACACCUAUCAAUCGUGUGGCACAACCUAGAGACAUAUCAGCCUUGGUUGCUUUUCUUUGUCUUCCAGCUGCUUCAUAUAUCACUGGACAGAUUAUAGCUGCAGAUGGUGGUUUUACUAGUUAAGCUUUUCUCAUAAGUUUAAACUAUGUACAAUAAGUGAAGACCAAAAUAAAAUCUCUAUUUCAAGUUGGUCUGAUAUAAGCUUCAAAAAUAAUAAUUAUUUGUAAUUGGCCCAAGAAUAAAAUUUCAAAGUGUUUUAUGAUUUUUCCA